UGAUAUCACGCCGGAUGAACGGAAGUCAUUGAUGUUGACUAAUAUGGAAUAAUUUUGUUUCUGAUAUUAU
rnacentral:tRNA from 1 species